AUUGAACGCUGGCGGCAUGCCUAACCCAUGCAAGUCGGGCGCGCGGCGGACGGGUGAGUAAUGUAUGGGGAUCUGCCUGCUUGCGGGGUAUAACUACUGGAAACGGUAGCUAAUACCUCAUACCAUUAGAUGAACCCAUAUGGGAUUAGCUUGUCGGUAAGGUAACGGCUUACCUAGGCGACGAUCCCUAGCUGGUCUGAGAGGAUGAUUAGCCACAAUGGGACGUGGACAAGGACCAAAAUCCUACGGGAGGCAGCAGUGGGGAAUAUUGCACAAAGGGCGCAAGCCUAAUGCAGCCAUGCAGCGUGUAUGAAGAAGGCAUUCGGGUUGUAAAGUACUUUCAGUCGGGAGGCGUUACCGACAGAAGAAGCACCGGCUAACUCCGUGCCAGCAGCCGCGGUAAUUC
rnacentral:rRNA from 1 species